CCAAAAGGAACUCAUUAACAGAACAACACGAAUGAACUCAACCAACCCUUGAACUUCAUUCUCAUAUCUAGGUUUUCCCAACAUAAGGUUCCAAACGAUAUAAUGAUUAUUUAGCUGAGGCACACCAAAACACUAAAUAAGGCAAUAUAUGAUUAUUUAGCUCAAGUCCUUUUCUGUAAGAAAUUGAAAGUGGAAACACUCAGCAUGCCGAGGAACCGGCCACCUUAUGCAAUUGUGACAAAGUCAUCAACCACAACCCAUCUACAGUCGUGGAAGACCUGAUCAAGGAUAAAUUUUUCUUAGAAAAAAGGAAAAAAAAAUCUCUUUCUUAUAUGUUGUCUCUUUUCUAAUUAAAGCCAAGAUAUAGACAUCCCAACCAUUCUAAUUUCUAAUGCUCAUCCCACUUAUAAAUUUCUCUCUCUCUUCUUCUCAUUUGGUCAUAUCGUUUAUGUAUUUUUAUUCAACCACUUCUGUCUGUCUAGACAUGGUAUUCCUCUUUUCCUCCUACCUCGAAGAUGCUAUCCACAGAGACAAAGCUGACAAAAAGGAAAACAUGUUAUCUAUGAGAUGAGGUUGAGGUUCUUUUUUAUUUGGGAUCCCAACAGUAGAUGAAAUGAGAUGAACAAGGGCAGGAUCCAUGCUAUACCUUUUGAUUGGUAAUGCUAGACCUAUUCCAAUUUUUGAUUGCUUUUUAGAUGAUAGAGUAGAUGGAGGGCCUCUGAGUUUAGAUCUUUUCACAUUCUUUGCUGGGGUGAAGUUUCUGUUGCUGAAGUAGAUCAGAUGCUGUGGUUUUAUUUUAAAUAAAAAAAAAAAAAACAGAAUAACAUAGGACAGCAGCUGAUGUUCUUCCAAAAUCAGCAGCCAGGAAUGUUCUGAAGAGACGAUUGCUUCUAUGAAAAUGGGGGUAGCAAAAUUGAAGCAUUCCACUGGAGGCUCUGAUGUUCUUCAUAGCAAAACUAUGUUCUUUUCUACAAAAGUACUAUGGAAGAAAGAAUUUACAGCUCCAGAUAAGAAAGUUACUUCUACUGUCCUUUGUUAAUAAAGACGAAUGUAUAAUGUGAAAGAAAGAAAAGUAAGAAGAAGAAGACAAUUCUCCCACCCAAUCCAUCGUCAUUGUAAUUUCUCUUCUUGACAUAAAGGACAAGACAAAAAGGCCGGCUUUCUUCUAAUUCAAUUGUAUUGUAUUGCUGGGGGUUCUUCAGCUCUCACAAAUUCUAUUAAUAGCAAAAAUAACAUUCCUUAAACAUUUCAUUA